CAGUAGCCGCGGUAAUACGUAGGUGGCAAGCGUUGUCCGGAAUUAUUGGGCGUAAAGGGCUCGCAGGCGGUUUCUUAUGUCUGAUGUGAAAGCCCCCGGCUCCACCGGGGAGGGUCAUUGGAAACUGGGAAACUUGAGUGCAGAAGAGGAGAGUGGAAUUCCACGUGUAGCGGUGAAAUGCGUAGAGAUGUGGAGGAACACCAGUGGCGAAGGCGACUCUCUGGUCUGUAACUGACGCUGAGGAGCGAAAGCGUGGGGAGCGAACAGGAUUAGAUACCCCAGUAGUCCCUGUCUCUUAUAA
rnacentral:rRNA from 1 species